rnacentral:rRNA from 1 species
AUUGCCUUAGUAACGGCGAGUGCCGCGGCAACAGCUCAAAUUUGAAAUCUGGUCCCCCCGGGGCCCGAGUUGUAAUUUGCAGAGGGUGCUUCGGCGUCGGCUCCGGUCCAAGUUCCUUGGAACAGGACGUCACAGAGGGUGAGAACCCCGUACGUGGCCGGAAGUCUUCGCCGUGUGAAGCCCCUUCGACGAGUCGAGUUGUUUGGGAAUGCAGCUCUAAAUGGGAGGUAAAUUUCUUCUAAAGCUAAAUACCGGCCAGAGACCGAUAGCGCACAAGUAGAGUGAUCGAAAGAUGAAAAGCACUUUGGAAAGAGAGUUAAAAAGCACGUGAAAUUGUUAAAAGGGAAGCAGUUGCAGCCAGACUUGGCCGCGGGCGUUCAACCGUGCUUCUGCACGGUGUACUCGACCGCGGUCAGGCCAGCAUCAGUUCGGGCGGCCGGAUAAAGGUCCUGGGAAUGUGGCUCCCCUCGGGGAGUGUUAUAGCCCGGGGCGUAAUACGGCCAGCCUGGACUGAGGUCCGCGCUUCGGCUAGGAUGCUGGCAUAAUGGCUGUAACUGGCCCGUCUUGAAACACGGACCAAGGAGUCUAACAUCUAUGCGAGUGUUUGGGUGUCAAACCCAUACGCGUAAUGAAAGUGAACGGAGGUGAGAGCCGCAAGGCGCAUCAUCGACCGAUCCUGAUGUCUUCGGAUGGAUUUGAGUAUGAGCAUAGCUGUUGGGACCCGAAAGAUGGUGAACUAUGCCUGAAUAGGGUGAAGCCAGAGGAAACUCUGGUGGAGGCUCGCAGCGGUUCUGACGUGCAAAUCGAUCGUCAAAUUUGGGUAUAGGGGCGAAAGACUAAUCGAACCAUUGACCUACUAGGUGGUUAACAGGCGGCUAAAAGUGCCCGCCUAGUCCCUUCACUCGGGGCGACGCUAUCAAAUUGCGGGGACAUCCUUAGAGCUCAGGCUACCGCGGCCCGCCGAAAGGCAGGGUGCAGCACCGGGGUAACGACCCAGGGGAAGGUAAAAACGCCUGAGAUUGGACAAUCCGCAGCCAAGUCCUAACCGCCCUCGGGGCGCACGGAUGCAGUUCACAGACUAGAUGGUAGCGGGUCGCCCUUAACGGGCGGCUUAAGAUAUAGUCGACUCCCCGCGGAGACGCGGGCGACGGGACAAAGCUCGAAGGAUGGGUGAGCGGGGAGCGGCCGCGCCUGAGAGCCCGAACCCCGUCGGGAAGGCAGAGAGAUGAU